UUAUUACCUCUUGCAGUGAGUUAAAGAAUGGGAUAUUUAGGAGAGCCAAAGACUUAUGAAAGCUGCUUUGUAAUGAUUUUUAAAGCUUGAAAAUAUAGGUUUAAAUUUUAGAAACUAUAUUUGGAUGGCGUUCGGAUGUAGUUUGAAAAUUAACAUGAGUCGUUAAUUGAUCACAUUUAUUGAUGAAAAGCAAAAAUAAAUUAAUAAAAGGCCCCAUUUCCAUAUCACAAAUGAAUACUUUCAAGUUAGUGUCAUAAUUAAAUGAAUUUAGUGGAAGUUAAGUUUUAUGUGUGUGAUAUUUACACUUGACAUUACAAAAGCUAUUACUUUCUUAGCAAGAGUCGUUGUAAUGAACAUUUGUAAAAACUUUAUACAAACAAAAUUUUAAAGAAGGGUAUCGUAUAUAGGUCAAAUACGUGAGUUAAGUUCAAAUCUCAAUAUAGUCA